rnacentral:rRNA from 1 species
GAUGAACGCUGGCGGCGUGCCUAAUACAUGCAAGUCGAGCGAACAGACGAGGAGCUUGCUCCUCUGACGUUAGCGGCGGACGGGUGAGUAACACGUGGAUAACCUACCUAUAAGACUGGGAUAACUUCGGGAAACCGGAGCUAAUACCGGAUAAUAUAUUGAACCGCAUGGUUCAAUAGUGAAAGACGGUUUUGCUGUCACUUAUAGAUGGAUCCGCGCCGCAUUAGCUAGUUGGUAAGGUAACGGCUUACCAAGGCAACGAUGCGUAGCCGACCUGAGAGGGUGAUCGGCCACCCUAGAACUGAGACACGGUCCAGACUCCUACGGGAAGCAGCAGUAGGGAAUCUUCCGCAAUGGGCGAAAGCCUGACAGAGCAACGCCGCGUGAGUAAUGAAGGUCUUCGGAUCGUAAAACUCUGUUAUUAGGGAAGAACAAAUGUGUAAGUAACUAUGCACGUCUUGACGGUACCUAAUCAGAAAGCCACGGCUAACUACGUG